rnacentral:rRNA from 1 species
AUUGAACGCUGGCGGCAGGCCUAACACAUGCAAGUCGAGCGAGCGGCGGACGGGUGAGUAAUGUAUGGGGAUCUGCCCGAUAGAGGGGGAUAACUACUGGACACGGUGGCUAAUACCGCAUACUAUCGGCUGAACCCAUAUGGGAUUAGCUAGUAGGUGGGGUAACGGCUCACCUAGGCGACGAUCCCUAGCGGGUCUGAGAGGAUGAUCAGACACACUGGGACUGGGACACGGCCCAGACGCCUACGGGAGGCAGGAGUGGGGAAUAUUGCACAAGGGGGGCAAGCCGGAUGCAGCCAUGCCGCGUGUAUGAAGAAGGCCUUAGGGUUGUAAAGUACUUUCAGCGGGGAGGCGUUACCCGCAGAAGAAGCACCGGCUAACUCCGUGCCAGCAGCCGCGGUAAUAC